rnacentral:rRNA from 1 species
CAGAGGUCCCGAGCGUUGUUCGGAUUCACUGGGCGUAAAGGGUGCGUAGGUGGCUUUGCAAGUCUGAUGUGAAAUCUCCAGGCCCAACCUGGAAACUGCAUUAGAAACUGCAGGGCUAGAGGCUUGGAGGGGGAACUGGAAUGCUCGGUGUAGCAGUGAAAUGCGUAGAGAUCGAGCGGAACACCGGUGGCGAAGGCGAGUUCCUGGACAAGUCCUGACACUGAGGCACGAAAGCCAGGGGAGCAAACAGGAUUAGAUACCCUGGUAGUCCUGGCUGUAAACGGUGCACGUUUGCUGUGAGAGGAAUCGACCCCUUUCGUGGCGGAGCUAACGCGAUAAACGUGCCGCCUGGGGAGUACGGUCGCAAGAUUA